AUAUCUCUCCGUACGGGAAGGAUGAGAAGCUUCGACUAAGGUUCGAUUCGAGCGCAGCGAGAAAGC
rnacentral:sRNA from 1 species